rnacentral:ribozyme from 1 species
CUUGUUAUUUAUUCAGCUAAUGGGGUAGGAUCUGAGACUCCUUAGGGGGUUCCAUAGGCUCUAAUAUUCAACUCCUAUUUCGUCACGUCCUCGUCGUGCAGAGUGGUAGCUUGCCUCACCGCAUAGCCAAGUUUGGGUACACCGGUUAUUCCCAACCCCUUGUGUUGAUGGUCGAGCAUGGUAGAAUGGGGUGAA